CCCUUAGAUGUUCUGGGCUGCACGCGCGCUACACUGAUGCACUCAACGAGUUUUCGACCUUGCCCGAUAGGGCUGGGUAAUCUUUUUAAAAUGCAUCGUGAUGGGGAUAGAUUAUUGCAAUUAUUAAUCUUCAACGAGGAAUUCCUAGUAAGCGCAUGUCAUCAGCAUGCAUUGAAUACGACCCUGUAUUCUGUACACACCGCCCGUCGCUCCUACCGAUUGAAGUUUUCGGUGAGCUUGCAGGAGGAGUUUUUUGAAACUGGUUCGCUAGUGGAUUUUUAUUCCAAAUGCUAACGAAUCGAUGGCUUUAGAGGAAGGAGAAGUCGUAACA
rnacentral:rRNA from 1 species